UACAGAGGGCUCAAGCGUUGUUCGGAUUCAUUGGGCGUAAAGGGCGCGUAGGCGGCUUUAUAAGUCGGGGGUGAAAGCCUGUGGCUCAACCACAGAAUUGCCUUCGAUACUGUAGAGCUUGAGACCGGAAGAGGUAAGUGGAACUGCGAGUGUAGAGGUGAAAUUCGUAGAUAUUCGCAAGAACACCAGUGGCGAAGGCGGCUUACUGGUCCGGUUCUGACGCUGAGGCGCGAAAGCGUGGGGAGCAAACAGG
rnacentral:rRNA from 1 species